rfam:Fukomys damarensis contig119653, whole genome shotgun sequence.
GAAUGUGAGGGCAAUCUGGCCAGUACAUCUGUCACCCCUUUGAUUGCUAGAGUUGAUCUGGCGUGUCCCCUUCCUUUGUCACCACUCUAUGUGUCUUCCUCCUGAAACUUCAAGCUCAAGCUCAUUUAUAGAGGACAGCCUUCCCCCACAGAGGAGAAUCAUUUCCUGGAUCAAGGAUAUACAAGUAACUUAGAUCCCCUGCUAGAAUCUCCAGACAAGUCCUCAAAAACAAUGAUACUAACCAAACUUUCCUUUGAAAGAAUGCAUUUAUCAUUAGAU